GCAGCAGGGGAGAGAGGCGCCGCUGGCAGCUUGGAGGUACUGCAGUGCAGAGCAAUGACAAGCAGCUCAGCCGGUCGGGCCGCUUGUCAUUGCUCGCUGGUGGGAGCAGGGCCGGAUUAACAAUGGGGCGGAUGGAGCUGCAGCUCCAGGCCGCCCCAUCAAAAUAGGCCCACAGCAUCUGCUGCAUUGCGCUGCUGUACACAGGAAUGUUUUUCUUUCCUGUUACAGCAGCCUAAGGCCCCGCCCACUGAAACAGCAAACCCCUUUCCCCUGCUUUUCUUGCCCGGGGUUGAAAAGACGGACUUAAUAAUUGUGCUAAUAGCGGCACAGUGGAAGGCUUCACAAGCCCUCCCUGCGCCGCACAGUAUCUGAAUCUCCAGCGCGGCAGCAUCGUGACGGCGUUGCAUCAUCUCCUCCUCCUCCUCCCCCCCCCCGCAUCCUGUCACAUCCAGGGCCCCGUCGGGACAUCGCAUCCCGCCGUGAAAUGGUAACUACGUCCGCGCCGCCGCCCCAUUACCGCUUGAAUAACUGCUGUGCAAGUGUGCACUGUAUGCAGCAGCCAACCCAGCUCUGCUCCGUGAAGGCGGCCCUGACACUUGCUGUGACUGGGCUACCCAGCAGCUACUGAUCACAGGUGACGGGCUGCAGCCGCUGCUGCUCAGAGAAGGGAUGUCAGUGUCCUGCAGUGCCUCUGGAAAAGUUAUGCAUUGUAGAUACCAGUGGAAAGCACAACAUUUCUCAAUGACAAGCCACAGUGCAGUGCCCAGUCCUCUGCUCAGGCUGUAAAGAUGGGGUACAUGACCGUGGCGUUGAUGUCCAAGGAUUCCUUUUAGCUGGCCCCUUCCAUGGUACUGGUUGCUUUUUUCGUUGUUCCCUCGAUCAGCCCUUGGCUCCUCUUGCUGGGAUUUAGCACACAAUGCAAUGACACGUGAAGAGGAUCAAUGAGUGCAAAGGACCAGGAUAAAGAUGAUAGAGUGGAAAGCAAGAGGACAGAAGGAUGAAGGAAUGCAAUGUCUUAGUAAGUGGAUAAAGAAGCAUGAAAGAUG